rnacentral:rRNA from 1 species
GUAUUUUGACUAUACAAAGGUAUUGUAAUAAGACUUUAAUUGAGUGCUAAGAGAAUGGAUUUUCAAAAAAAUUCUUUUUUAAGUUUAAAAAUUAAAGUUAUUUUUAUUUGUGAAGAAACAAUAAUAAAAAUUAAAGACAAGAAGACCCUAUGAAUUUUUAUAAACUUUAAUAUUUAAUUAAAUAUUAAAGUUUAUUUAAUUGGGGCGAUUGAGAAAGAUAAAAAACUUUUUUUUAUUUAAAGAGAUCCAUUAUUAAUGAUUUUAUGUAAAAAAUACUCUAGGGAUAACAGCGUAAUAA